CCUACGGGUGGCUGCAGUGGGGGAUAUUGCACAAUGGGGGAAACCCUGAUGCAGCGACGCCGCGUGAGUGAAGAAGUAUUUCGGUAUGUAAAGCUCUAUCAGCAGGGAAGAAAAUGACAAUACUUGACCAAUAAGCCCCGGCUAACUACUUGCCAGCAGCCGCGGUGAUACGAAGGGGGCAAGCGUUAUCCGGAUUUACUGGGUGUAGAGGGAGCGUAGUCGGUUAAGUAAGUCUGGAGUGAAAGGCCGGGGCCCAACACCGGGACUGCUUUGGAAACUGUUGAACUUGAGUACAGGAGGGGUAGGCGGAAUUCCGGGUGUAGCGGUGAAAUGCGUAGAUAUCAGGAGGAACACCGGUGGCGAAGGCGGCCUGCUGGACUGAAACUGACGUUGAGGCUCGAAAGCGUGGGGAGCAAACAGGAUUAGAUACCCGAGUAGUC
rnacentral:rRNA from 1 species